ACGGAGGGUGCGAACGUUAAUCGGAAUUACUGGGCGUAAAGCGCGCGUAGGCGGUUUGUUAAGUGGGAUGUGAAAUCCCCGGGCUCAACCUGGGAACUGCGUUUCAAACUGACAAACUAGAGUUCAGUAGAGGGAGGUGGAAUUUCCUGUGUAGCGGUGAAAUGCGUAGAUAUAGGGAGGAACACCAGUGGCGAAGGCGGCCUCCUGGACUGAAACUGACGCUCAAACGCGAAAGCGUGGGGAGCAAACAGG
rnacentral:rRNA from 1 species